rnacentral:rRNA from 1 species
ACGAACGCUGGCGGCGUGCCUAAUACAUGCAAGUAGAACGCUGAAGAGAGGAGCUUGCUCUUCUUGGAUGAGUUGCGAACGGGUGAGUAACGCGUAGGUAACCUGCCUUGUAGCGGGGGAUAACUAUUGGAAACGAUAGCUAAUACCGCAUAACAAUGGAUGACACAUGUCAUUUAUUUGAAAGGGGCAAUUGUUCCACUACAAGAUGGACCUGCGUUGUAUUAGCUAGUAGGUGAGGUAAUGGCUCACCUAGGCGACGAUACAUAGCCGACCUGAGAGGGUGAUCGGCCACACUGGGACUGAGACACGGCCCAGACUCCUACGGGAGGCAGCAGUAGGGAAUCUUCGGCAAUGGGGGCAACCCUGACCGAGCAACGCCGCGUGAGUGAAGAAGGUUUUCGGAUCGUAAAGCUCUGUUGUAAGUCAAGAACGGGUGUGAGAGUGGAAAGUUCACACUGUGACGGUAGCUUACCAGAAAGGGACGGCUAACUACGUGCCAGCAGCCGCGGUAAUACGUAGGUCCCGAGCGUUGUCCGGAUUUAUUGGGCGUAAAGCGAGCGCAGGCGGUUUGAUAAGUCUGAAGUUAAAGGCUGUGGCUCAACCAUAGUUCGCUUUGGAAACUGUCAAACUUGAGUGCAGAAGGGGAGAGUGGAAUUCCAUGUGUAGCGGUGAAAUGCGUAGAUAUAUGGAGGAACACCGGUGGCGAAAGCGGCUCUCUGGUCUGUAACUGACGCUGAGGCUCGAAAGCGUGGGGAGCGAACAGGAUUAGAUACCCUGGUAGUCCACGCCGUAAACGAUGAGUGCUAGGUGUUGGAUCCUUUCCGGGAUUCAGUGCCGCAGCUAACGCAUUAAGCACUCCGCCUGGGGAGUACGACCGCAAGGUUGAAACUCAAAGGAAUUGACGAGGGCCCGCACAAGCGGUGGAGCAUGUGGUUUAAUUCGAAGCAACGCGAAGAACCUUACCAGGUCUUGACAUCCCGAUGCUAUUUCUAGAGAUAGAAAGUUACUUCGGUACAUCGGUGACAGGUGGUGCAUGGUUGUCGUCAGCUCGUGUCGUGAGAUGUUGGGUUAAGUCCCGCAACGAGCGCAACCCCUAUUGUUAGUUGCCAUCAUUCAGUUGGGCACUCUAGCGAGACUGCCGGUAAUAAACCGGAGGAAGGUGGGGAUGACGUCAAAUCAUCAUGCCCCUUAUGACCUGGGCUACACACGUGCUACAAUGGUUGGUACAACGAGUUGCGAGUCGGUGACGGCGAGCUAAUCUCUUAAAGCCAAUCUCAGUUCGGAUUGUAGGCUGCAACUCGCCUACAUGAAGUCGGAAUCGCUAGUAAUCGCGGAUCAGCACGCCGCGGUGAAUACGUUCCCGGGCCUUGUACACACCGCCCGUCACACCACGAGAGUUUGUAACACCCGAAGUCGGUGAGGUAACCUUUUGGAGCCAGCCGCCUAAGGUGGGACAGAUGAUUGGGGUG